CCUGUGACUCAGAGGGCUGACAACACUUCCUUGCCCAGGGGGCCCACAGCCACAUCCUGGAGGCUAGGGCCCACUCAUGACUGUUUUCUCCUCCCACGCCGCCCAGGGAGAGAUAAGGGAGGCUGAGAAAGUGAUCUCAGCCUGGGGAAAGGAGACGAAGGUCAGUGGGGAGGGGCGGCUUCAUCCAGGGAUCACUUUUCCAAAGGGCUUCCACGGAGGGCCCUGCUUAUGGGCAGAGAAAAUGGGGCUCAGAGAAGUUGCGAGUUGCCCCAGGACACACAGCUCAGUGUGGGAGACGUCUCGGCUUGGCUCCCUGAAAUGCCCAGUGUCCUAACUCCAAAAUCUCCUCUUGGCUAUUAAGGGACUAGUUCUGCAAGUGCUCUCACUCCCAUUCCUUGUGGGAGCUGGGUUCAACUUCUUCAAGCAACGGGGAGCCACUUACAGCCUCCCAGAGGCCCUAGGAGAAGAUCCCACAGCUCCCUCUGGUCCUGGAGCAGGCUGUCUCUUCACUUGCUGGGCUGUAGGGAACAUGGGAGGGAGGCCAAGCCUUCUCCGUGGCAGUCCCAUGUCCUCUCUGUUGGGAUCCUGGGGACACAGGCUGGCUGGUUGUCCUGCUCAUCUGAUGGGGGUGGGGAGCACAGCGAUGCUGUCCUCGCUCCUUUUUUUCAGGCUACUGUACGGCAGAGGCACAGGCUAUCCCCACUCUCGCCCUGUCACCUGUGUCACCCACCCUGGACCUGGGAGGAGUGGUGGGCCGUGGGCUGGGGGUGGGAUGGGAGCAGGCCUGGAUGCUCUCUCUGGCAGCCCAUUGCCCAAUGCUCCUUCUCCUACCACCUGCACAGCCCCAGGCCCUGCAGCCU
rnacentral:lncRNA from 1 species